UACGGAGGAUGCGAGCGUUAUCCGGAUUUAUUGGGUUUAAAGGGUGCGCAGGCGGGAGAUUAAGUCGGCGGUGAAAUUUUGCAGCUCAACUGUAAAAGUGCCUUCGAAACUGGUUUCCUUGAGUGUAGAUGAAGUAGGCGGAACUUGCGGUGGAGCGGUGAAAUGCUUUGAUAUCGCAAGGAACACCAGCGGCGAAGGCGGCUUACUGGGCUUCAACUGACGCUUAAGCGCGAAAGCUAGGGUAGCGAACGGGAUUAGAUACCCCUGUAGUCCCUGAG
rnacentral:rRNA from 1 species